ACGAAGCUGUAGGGUAACCUGUGGCUUAGUGGCGGAAGGGUUAGUAAUACAUGAACAACUUGCCUCUUACCUGGGGAUAACGGCCGGAAACAGCCGCUAAUACCGAAUGAGGUUGCUGAGGGAAGCCUUAGCGUAUCAAAGUAGGGGACUCCGAAAGGGGCCUUGCGGUAAGAGAGAGGUUCAUGGGAUAUCAGCUAGUUGGUGUGGUAACGGCUCACCAAGG
rnacentral:rRNA from 1 species